GUGCUGUGUGUAGUGCUUCACUUCAAUAAGUGCCAUUCAUGUGUCUAGAAAUAUGUUUUGCACCUUUUGGAGUGAAAUAAUGCACAACAGGUAC
ensembl:miRNA